rnacentral:misc_RNA from 1 species
UCCUACUUACGUAGGCAGUCUCAUUAGAGUUCUCAGCCGAACUGUUAGCAACUAAUGACGAGGGUUGCGCUCGUUGCGGGACUUAACCCAACAUCUCACGACACGAGCUGACGACAGCCGUGCAGCACCUGUAUAUAAGUUUCUGCAAGCAGACACCAAUCUAUCUCUAGAAAGUUCUUACUAUGUCAAGUCCAGGUAAGGUUCUUCGUGUAUCGUCGAAUUAAACCACAUGCUCCACCGCUUGUGCGGGUCCCCGUCUAUUCCUUUGAGUUUUAAUCUUGCGACCGUACUCCCCAGGCGGUACACUUAAUGUGUUAACUGCAUUACUGCAAGGUCGAGCCUCACAACAACUAGUGUACAUCGUUUAGGGCGUGGACUAC